rnacentral:rRNA from 1 species
GAUGAACGCUGGCGGCGUGCCUAAUACAUGCAAGUCGAGCGAACAGACGAGGAGCUUGCUCCUCUGACGUUAGCGGCGGACGGGUGAGUAACACGUGGAUAACCUACCUAUAAGACUGGGAUAACUUCGGGAAACCGGAGCUAAUACCGGAUAAUAUAUUGAACCGCAUGGUUCAAUAGUGAAAGACGGUUUUGCUGUCACUUAUAGAUGGAUCCGCGCCGCAUUAGCUAGUUGGUAAGGUAACGGCUUACCAAGGCGACGAUGCGUAGCCGACCUGAGAGGGUGAUCGGCAACACUGGAACGGAGACACGGUCCAGACUCCUACGGGAGGCAGCAGUAGGGAAUCUUCGGAAAUGGGCGAAAGCCUGACGGAGCAACGCGGCGGGAGGGAUGAAGGUCUUCGGAUCGUAAAACUCUGUUAUAGGGAAGAACAAAUGUGUAAGUAACUAUGCACGUCUUGACGGUACCUAAUCAGAAAGCCACGGCUAACUACGUG